GACUUGAUGCAGUGGCGUAGCCAGCUUGAUAAGUGUGGGGGGGGGACAUUUUCAUAUAUUCCUGUUCUGCAUUAUUAAUUUAUUUUGAAAUUUUGUUUUUACUGUCUGUGAAUACGAAUAUAUAAUAUGUCCCCCCCCCCCACUUAUCGAGCUGGCUACGCCACUGACUUGAUGGC